UUGGCUGCAAAGAGUAUAUUUAGACCCUGAGACGGUGGAUUUGGAAUGCGAGCGGGUUAUGUAACAGGGUUAAUCAGAAACACUGGAGAAAAUCCCCUUCAUGUGUUUCUGAGUUUUUUUUUUUUUUUUUUAAAGGGGGGGACAUAGUAUAUAGGAAGCCACACUAAUUUCUGAUUUGUGCUGUCACCCCCGCCCCCCUUAACCUCGCCCUCCCGUGUGUUAUUAGCAUCUUCAGGUGUCAUUCUUGCCAGAAGGUGUUCUUGCGAGAGAUCAGGGUGGCAGCUGCAGAACCGACUAACAAAUCCGUAACUUGCUGUUCUUGCAAAUUAUAUAAGGCUGGGGCAUUCAGUACCACUAGCCCCCUAGGCUUAGCAAAAAGGGGAGAGGGACAAAGUAGGGGUGGGAUGCAUCCUGCACAGCUGACCUGUUGACCUUUGUCCCCUUGCCCCCUAGAGGGUCACCCUCCACUCACUCUUCUUUGAACCAACCCCCUUGUCCAUCUCUCCAGAGAUUUACUAGGGGGAGGGAGAAGAGGUAAGGCCCAAACCCUCAACUCACAUCCUGCACGCAGGCACUAGGUUAUAUAACAGUCUGAAUGGAAAAAGGAAGGUCAGAGAUGGAGGCAUCCUUUAGUGAACACAGCAGUAGUAAUAGCUUCCAGAGAUUAUGUGCAUUUGCAGACUUUAACCUCAGAUGUAGUGUCUGCUCCUCAGGGAUCCCAGUCUUUGUGUGUGUGACCUAGGGAGAAAAAGAAUGUGUAAGUAUGCCUGGUAGAUGAGAGUGAUUUGAAAAUGGGAAAUGUUUGGGUUUUCAGAUGAUGUAAUGGAGUUGGCAGAAUAUGCAAGUCGGCUCCCAGAGUGUAAGCAGCAAGAAAAUUGGAGCUGGCAUCCAGUAUUAAUGUUGCAUAAAUUACAAUAUCGGAAAGAAAUUAACCUACACACUAGGUGAUUACGCCUUUUUAAUACUUAAAACAGAAAGGCACACAACUCAAAAGGAAAAGCAAACAUCAUCACCUUAUAAUUAGCAUUUUCAACCUCAAGGAGGAUUGAAUGGAGUUCUUGGCAUUGGGUGACAUGGGAAGCUUUUGGAUUUGGGAGAUGCUUUCCAGAGAAGUAGCAGGGUUAGCCUCCAGCCAGCCAGUGUUUGCAGUCCACAGAAAUUGUGGUCUGGAUUCUCGUGACAUUGAGGUGACCUCAUGAGACAUUACCAGGUAGACUUGAAGCUGUUGCUGAAUGCCAAACUCCUGGGAGUCCCCGCGUGAACGGGCUUCGUACCCUCGGUGCCUGCGCUUCCGGAAUCAGAUGUGUGACUUUGUAAUCUGAAAGGUGGACCUUCCCCUGUCCUUAAAACUAGCAGGGAAUGUUCGCAGUUGUAAUGAAACUGUCCCGUUUUCUAGGGGGUACUGAUGAUGGCUGGUGUCAUUCAGUACCAUCUUUACAACCCAACGAAAGGCAAAAAAGAAAGCCAAGAGGCAACAUGGGAAGUAAGAAUGAAGCAGGGGAAAAAAAAAACCACAGCGAAUCUUUAAUUCAACAAGGCUUUCAGGGACUUCAGGGAGCCAUAAGCAUUGUGACAUAACUGUUGUUAAAAACCCUUUUCCAGAAUCUCAUUAUUAUAUGCAUGCCAGAAGCUUACAUAUUUCACUUUCCUAAAGUUAUCCUCACAGGGCUGUGUGGCUCGCGCUUGGUUUGGAACACCAGUGUUACAGGUUGAAGGCUUUUAGGGCAGGCCGACCUAAGGGAAAAAUCGAAACCAAAAGAUGGGAUUAACACUGAAAAGCUCAGUUGGGUUGAGAUUGAACCCCCUGGAGGCUCAGCUUAGAUUGAUUUAAAAUCAGUUAACAAGGCCUGUAGUUUAUUUGUAGCCCUGAGGACUUCUAGAACCACGUAAACCAAAGUGCUUGGCCUUCACGUCCCCCUUUCUGUCUUGGCUGAUUCACUUUCAGGUAGGUGUCCUUCUUGCCUGGUAGUUUAUAGCCUUUUCUAGACAUUGAUUCUCAGAUCAACUUUUCUGACACGGACCAGGCUCUCCACAGUGACCAAGUGAUGCCCCAUAGUUUGAAAGAGCUACUGGCUGGCAUAAAAUCCUUUGCCGGAGGGAUGGAAUAAUUGUUUUUUAAACUAAGGGACUUUAAUUUUCCGGUAAAUUGCUCAUAAAAACAUUUAUAGUUAUACCCUUAAAAAAUGUACUGGAAUAGUUUUAGAAAAUGCAUUUGGUGAUAGUUAUGAUAACCUUUCCUGUUGCUUCCCCCCUUCUUUCUUAAAAAGAAUUGAAUUAUUAAUCCAGAAGUCAAAUCCUGAGUGGCCAAAAACCGUGUAUAGCAGACUCUUUUUAUGUUAGCCACCUGCUGGAAUUUUCCAGAACCUACCAGCAUCAUGAGGAGCCUUGGCUUUUUCUAGAAAAUGCCUCCAUUUCCAAAACUGAAAUACAGAGUCUGCGUGGAAGGCCCCUCCCCUGAGACCCUUAAGCUCCUGUUUUCAAGGCAGCAGAGGUGGUGGUGGGGGUCGGGGGUCAGCACACACUGCUAGUUCCACACCAGGCUCCUAGGUGGGAUUGCAGGGAGGUUCGAGAAUAUUCAUUGUUGUGCCUCCAGGGGAAACGUUCUGAGGAUCUGGGGGGACAGCUGAAUUGCUUUUGGAAGCAAACCGACCCCUGUCCAGAGCUAACCGUUGGAAUGCAAGUGAGACAAGCCCAUGGCUACUUCUCCUUGGCCAACACUCUUGUCACUUCUGACUGGAGAUGCACACUUUUCUCCACGUGUUCCCAUUUUUGCUUCCAGAAAGUUGGGGUGUGUUGUUGGAAGGGCAGACUUGAGUUGGAUGUCACUGAAAAUUCUGUUUGUGUGGUACAGUCUCUUACGGCGUAGGCCACUUUUUCUGAGAGUGCUGCUCCUCUCUGCCCUCAUCCAUGGUCUUAGUCUACUUGGUGAAUUGUGCUUCUUAGGUUACAUAUGUACUUACGUGUUUGUAGAAGCAAAAUACAUAAUGACAUUUCAGGUGUCUGGGGAAAAAUUAUAAUGUGACUGCCCUUGUGCCAGAGACUAAAAUUUUGUAGAAAACCCAGCUCUCUUCAUAUGACAUAACCUGCUGCUUAAGCUCUUUGUCUUCCGUGAGCCAUUGUUCAGGUACUCUGAGGUAGAUGUCGUCCACUCCCUCAGGGAGAUUCCUGACCAAUCAUCCUAGAUUAGUGAUGGAUUUUUCCAGAGCAACAACAGUCUGCUUUGAAAGGCCUUAAGGUACCAGAGUGAACCCCAACCUAGAAUGUGGAAUAUCUUUCUGAAUAUGAAGACUGUCAUCCUCAUUGAGAAUUUAGGAACAGUCUCUCUCUCUCUCUGUCUCUUUUUCUCUGUAUUGUUCUCUCUUCUAUCAUACAAAGAAAUGUUUUGGUUUUUUUGCGGGGGGGAUUGUGUGUGUGUGUGCGGUGUGUGGUGUGUGUGUGUGAGAGUCAUAAUGGGAAGUGUUAGUUUGGAAACGAGCUUUUCAAUUUUUCACCCACCUUACUAAACCGUAUGUUAAGAGAAAUAAAAGCGAAUCAUUUUGAAUUAAUGCUUUAAAAAAAUUCUCCAGAUAAUCAGUGUUCAAGUUUCGAUUAGUAUACAGUAAAUCAUGAUUUUUCUAUAAGAGUGCUAAGGCAUUACUGGUGAAUUCGUUUUUCUGGCUAACAGUAGAUUAACCGGAUCUUUCCUUUUUCUCUUUGAAUAUGUUUCUUUUAAAUGUACUGGUCCCCUUUCCUACCCUAGGAAAGAACAUGGGGAAUGUAAUCGAAUCUUUCUUUGAGGUUUGAGGAUCUUACAGUGCCAUAGGGUCACUGUUCUGAGGAUGAAUUCUGAUUGUACAUUAUAGAACUGUGAAUGGGGACAGUGUCAGAGAUUGGACUAAAUCUGCCCUGAUCCCAGCUUGGAAAUUGUUUUCUUUUUCUGUUAAAUCCUCAAUAUCAGUAUGUUUUGUUAUUUGCCUUUCUUGGUCUCUAACUUGCAAGGAGCAAAACGGAAAUUCACUUUAAUUAGUUGAUUCUGGUUAAUUGAGGCUUUUACUUUCUAGGAAAAUUUCAACCUGAAUCUAGAGCCUUAACGCUUUCCCUGCAGUUAACAGAGGAUGUAAAAUCAUUCUUAGAUGUUUAGGAAGACUGUUGUAUUUACAAAUAAGUUAUGUAAUGUAUUACCAUAGCAUUGUGUAACUUCACCCCCCAGGUAAUAAUGGUAGAUAGAAAUAUCGGCUAAUUUUGCCUCUUCCUUAGAUAUAUUGAGAGGGUAUCAUAAAUCCUAAAAACUAGGAAAUUCUAGGGUUGGAGGGAAGACUUUCAAGAAUAUCAAUAAAGAACAUUUAAAUUCCCCCCAAAGGAAAUUCUCCUUUAAAGCUUGGGCCUUUGUUCACUGGACCACUAUGGAAGGCAUGCCCAGGAUGGCACCAUCAGAGGCUGACUUUCUCAGGGCCGUCCCAUGUGAUUUAAUGGUAGUCUGUGGUUAUCUUCUGAUAUCCUUGUUGUCACAGCAUUGCAAAUUCAUCUUAGGGGUCGUGGUGUUCUUUUGUGACAGCCCAGUUAUUAUUAUUAUUAUUGUUGUUGUUUUGUUUUUGGUGUAAGGACAUCAAGGAAAUUGUCUAGAGAAGUCCGUAGAAGAGGGGAAUGUAGCGUGAUGAGGAAUAAAUGAGCCACGUCUCGUGGCUUGCUUUUUGCUCCCGCUUUUAUGUGCCAACAUGAAAAGGAAUUACAGGUAACAGUUCCCUUGUGUUGGUGGAAGAACAGUUGUUUUUUGGUUUUUUGUCUUUUUUCUUUUUUUCCUUUCUUCCCCUACCAGAUGUUUAUGGCCCUCAUUGACAUGUCAUUAUUACAGACUGUCUUAUCACAGUAUGUCCUGUGGCACAUUGACAAUGGCGUGGCCCUGUGGUUUCCUGGUGAUUGUCUCGUCCACAGAACUGAGGCCCUGGUGGCCAGCUGCAGAGCCCUCUCCAGGGUCCACCACCAGUUGAGAGUACAGGUCUCCCACACCCUUGAAGGUGCCGGAGGACUGCAGGCCAGGCCAGGGAGUUUCUGUACCAGCGCUGUUCUCCCCGAAGCUCAAUCAGAGGCUGGAACAGAGUAGGAAUGCGUGUGGCAUAGAGGAUUUAUAAUCUCCCAGCUUCAAAUCAUCUCUAGCAAUGUUACUGGGCAUUUGCGUUUUGGUUGUGAACUAUCUGAAAGUUUUUUGAAAUAAUCAGGAAGUUCCCCCAUCCACGAACCGACCAUCAUAGAUGAAACUCGUCUGGGGUGCAAGGAAGGGUGCUACUUAGUACAGGAUCCUCAAGCCUGUGAAAGAGGCAGCGCACUGUUAAAAAUACCUAGCUUACUUCGGGGGAGGAUUUGGCUGAAUACUGAUGAAGUUUAUGAAAUAUGAAUGUAGUGAAGUUGCUGUACGUAAGUGGUAGGCGUGUGUGAAAGAAGUAAGAAGAAAUAAAAUUGUGUAUAAAUGACACUCUGAAACUUGAUGGAAUUGUAUACGUGACAGGAAUGGUGACGUUUGGGUCCGUGCUUAAUGGGGGAAAAUAAACUGGCUUAAAAAUCUAUAUGUCAGACUAGAUGUGGGGCUAAAAAUUACAGAAUAUAAAAUUAUUGGACUUAUGAGCAAAGAGCGCUACCAAGGAUAAAUAGGCAGAUUGCAAAGGAUAGAGGUGAAACAGAAUGGGGGGAAAAUGAGGGGCCAACACUUGAAUUUAUAAUGAGCUAUGGUAAUCACUGCUUUAAAUAAUCCAGACUAUUAACUACUGUGCUGCUAGGUAGAGAAUGAGUUAUAGCCAAACAAAAGGCAUAAAUAUGAAUAUUAGGUUGUGUGGGAGAAAUCCUCUUGAUCCCCAAAGCAUAAAUGCAUGUACUGAGAAGCAAAGCUGCACACGAUGUAAUUUUUUUCUGUCUUGUCCUGAUUAAUUGACAGCCAACUGUAUGCCUCUUUCCUGAAGGUGACUUUACAAUCUCCAGACACAGACAUUUCUCUCAGAAGUGGAGUGAAGGAAGGAGAACCACAAGCUAAAGGCAAUGAAAAGAGGAAAAGUUGACACUUUGAGAAGUUAUGACGAACUUGUCGAGAAUGCCAAUUGACAAAGGCAGGUAAGGGAAUACUUGGAAACACAGAACAAGAACAGUUCUGAAGGGCAUGAUGAUCUGCUUCCUAGUGUGUUAAGGGAAUUGGCGGGCAUGUUUAUUGACUCUUCCAAUUAGUUUUAAAGAAACCUGAAGAAAUGGACAAAGAUGGAGAGAAGACAACCAGAUGUGAUUCUGCCCUUCCAGAAGCAGAGAAGCUUCUCUCAUCCCAUGUGAUCGAUGCCAGGCCUGGGGAAGACUGUCUGUAUAGCAGUUAAUGGAUUUUCAACAUACAAAUCACAGAAGAAACAAGGGUAUAUUUAGCAAAUCUGAAAACUCUUCAAUAAACUGUAUUGCUUUUCA